rnacentral:rRNA from 1 species
AUUGAACGCUGGCGGCAGGCUCAACACAUGCAAGUCGAGCGGGGGAUGUUACUUCGGUAACUGACCUAGCGGCGGACGGGUGAGUAAUGCUUAGGAAUCUGCCUAUUAGUGGGGGACAACAUUCCGAAAGGAAUGCUAAUACCGCAUACGCCCUACGGGGGAAAGCAGGGGAUCUUCGGACCUUGCGCUAAUAGAUGAGCCUAAGUCGGGUUAGCUAGUUGGUGGGGUAAAGGCCUACCAAGGCGACGAUCUGUAGCGGGUCUGAGAGGAUGAUCCGCCACACUGGGACUGAGACACGGCCCAGACUCCUACGGGAGGCAGCAGUGGGGAAUAUUGGACAAUGGGCGGAAGCCUGAUCCAGCCAUGCCGCGUGUGUGAAGAAGGCCUUUUGGUUGUAAAGCACUUUAAGCGAGGAGGAGGCUCCUUUAGUUAAUACCUAAAGAGAGUGGACGUUACUCGCAGAAUAAGCACCGGCUAACUCUGUGCCAGCAGCCGCCGUAAGAC